UACGUAGGGGGCAAGCGUUGUCCGGAAUCAUUGGGCGUAAAGAGCGUGUAGGCGGCUUGAUAAGUCGGCUGUGAAAGUCAAGGGCUCAACCCUUGAAUGCCGGCCGAUACUGUCAAGCUAGAGUCCGGAAGAGGCGAGUGGAAUUCCUGGUGUAGCGGUGAAAUGCGCAGAUAUCAGGAGGAACACCAAUGGCGAAGGCAGCUCGCUGGGACGGUACUGACGCUGAGACGCGAAAGCGUGGGGAGCGAACAGG
rnacentral:rRNA from 1 species